rnacentral:rRNA from 1 species
AACCUUCGGGGGACGAUAACGGCGUCGAGCGGCGGACGGGUGAGUAAUGCCUAGGAAAUUGCCCUGAUGUGGGGGAUAACCAUUGGAAACGAUGGCUAAUACCGCAUGAUGCCUACGGGCCAAAGAGGGGGACCUUCGGGCCUCUCGCGUCAGGAUAUGCCUAGGUGGGAUUAGCUAGUUGGUGAGGUAAGGGCUCACCAAGGCGACGAUCCCUAGCUGGUCUGAGAGGAUGAUCAGCCACACUGGAACUGAGACACGGUCCAGACUCCUACGGGAGGCAGCAGUGGGGAAUAUUGCACAAUGGGCGCAAGCCUGAUGCAGCCAUGCCGCGUGUGUGAAGAAGGCCUUCGGGUUGUAAAGCACUUUCAGUCGUGAGGAAGGCGGUGUCGUUAAUAGCUGCAUUGUUUGACGUUAGCGACAGAAGAAGCACCGGCUAACUCCGUGCCAGCAGCCGCGGUAAUACGGAGGGUGCGAGCGUUAAUCGGAAUUACUGGGCGUAAAGCGCAUGCAGGUGGUUUGUUAAGUCAGAUGUGAAAGCCCGGGGCUCAACCUCGGAAUAGCAUUUGAAACUGGCAGACUAGAGUACUGUAGAGGGGGGUAGAAUUUCAGGUGUAGCGGUGAAAUGCGUAGAGAUCUGAAGGAAUACCGGUGGCGAAGGCGGCCCCCUGGACAGAUACUGACACUCAGAUGCGAAAGCGUGGGGAGCAAACAGGAUUAGAU